AACGAACGCUGGCGGCAUGCCUAACACAUGCAAGUCGAACGAGACCUUCGGGUCUAGUGGCGCACGGGUGCGUAACGCGUGGGAACCUGCCCUUAGGUUCGGAAUAACUCCCCGAAAGGGGUCCUAAUACCGGAUAAUGUCUUCGGACCAAAGAUUUAUCGCCUUUGGAUGGGCCCGCGUUGGAUUAGCUAGUUGGUAGGGUAAAAGCCUACCAAGGCGACGAUCCAUAGCUGGUCUGAGAGGAUGAUCAGCCACACUGGGACUGAGACACGGCCCAGACUCCUACGGGAGGCAGCAGUGGGGAAUAUUGGACAAUGGGCGAAAGCCUGAUCCAGCAAUGCCGCGUGAGUGAUGAAGGCCUUAGGGUUGUAAAGCUCUUUUACCCGGGAUGAUAAUGACAGUACCGGGAGAAUAAGCUCCGGCUAACUCCGCG
rnacentral:rRNA from 1 species